CGGCCUAAGAAGGGGGUGUGUCACCAUGGCCUGGAUCUCUGUCCUCCUCGUGCUCCUCUGUCACUGCGCAGGUUCCCUGUCCCAGCCUGUCGUGACUCAGCCAGCCUCCCUCUCUGCAUCUCUGGGAGCGACAGCCAGACUCACCUGCACCCUGAGUAGGGACAUCAAUGUUGGAAGCUAUAACAUAUACUGGUACCAACAGAAUCCAGGGAGCCCUCCCCGGUAUCUCCUGUACUACUACUCAGACUCAGAUAAGCACCAGGGCCCCGGGGUCCCCAGCCGCUUCUCUGGGUCCAAAGAUGCCUCGGCCAAUGCAGGGCUUCUGCUCAUCUCUGGGCUGCAGCCUGAGGACGAGGCUGACUAUUACUGUGCAAUUUGGCACAGUAGUGCUGCUUUGUUCGGCAGAGGGACCCAUCUGACCGUCCUCGGUCAGCCCAAGUCGGCCCCCUCAGUCACGCUCUUCCCGCCCUCCAAUGAGGAGCUCAGCGCCAACAAGGCCACCCUGGUGUGCCUCAUCAAUGACUUCUACCCCAGCGGUUUGACGGUAGCCUGGAAAGCAGACGGCACCCCCGUCACCCAGGGCGUGGAAACCACCAAGCCCUCCAAACAGAGCAACAACAAGUACGCGGCCAGUAGCUACCUGAGCCUGUCACCCAGCCAGUGGAAAUCUCGCGGCAGAUUCACCUGCCAGGUCACGCACGAGGGGAGCACUGUGGAAAAGAGUGUGGUCCCCGCAGAGUGUUCUUAGGUCCCCGAGACUGUCAGGGAUGGAGGCCUUCCUCACCCAGAUACACCUUCCCCAGCUCACCAUGUACCCCUGAGAGCCAACUCCUGGAUCAGCUCAGACCAGGAAGGUCACACACCCUCCCGGUUUCUAUUUGUGCUCAAUAAAGAACUUAUUGUUUAUCAUUCAA